rnacentral:piRNA from 1 species
GAAAGAGCUGAUAAAAUGGCGAGCU